UACAGAGGUCUCAACCGUUGUUCGGAUUCAUUGGGCGUAAAGAGCGUGUAGGCGGCCAAACAGGUCCGUUGUGAAAACUGGAGGCUUAACCGCCAGACGUCGACGGAAACCGUGUGGCUAGAGUCCGGAAGAGGAGAGUGGAAUUCCUGGUGUAGCGGUGAAAUGCGCAGAUAUCAGGAAGAACACCAAUGGCGAAGGCAGCUCUCUGGGACGGUACUGACGCUGAGACGCGAAAGCGUGGGGAGCGAACAGG
rnacentral:rRNA from 1 species